rnacentral:rRNA from 1 species
GAGAGGACGACCAGCCACACUGGAACUGAGACACGGUCCAGACACNUACGGGUGGCAGCAGUCGAGAAUUUUUCACAAUGGGCGCAAGCCUGAUGGAGCGACGCCGCGUGGGGGAUGAAUGGCUUCGGCCCGUAAACCCCUGUCAUUCGUGAACAAUGGUUACUGUUUAAGAGAUGGUAACUUGAUAGUAGCGGAAGAGGAAGGGACGGCUAACUCUGUGCCAGCAGCCGCGGUAAUACAGAGGUCCCAAGCGUUGUUCGGAUUCACUGGGCGUAAAGGGUGCGUAGGUGGUCGGGUAAGUCUGAUGUGAAAUCUCCGGGCCUAACCCGGAAAUGGCAUCGGAUACUACUCGGCUGGAGGGUUGGAGGGGGGACUGGAAUUCUCGGUGUAGCAGUGAAAUGCGUAGAUAUCGAGAGGAACACCAAUGGCGAAGGCUAGUCCCUGGACAAUUCCUGACACUGAGGCACGAAAGCCAGGGGAGCAAACAGGAUUAGAUACCCUGGUAGUCCUGGCUGUAAACGGUGCACGUUUGCUGUGAGAGGAAUCGACCCCUUUCGUGGCGAAGCUAACGCGUUAAACGUGCCGCCUGGGGAGUACGGCCGCAAGGUUAAAACUCAAAUGAAUUGACGG